GAUGAACGCUAGCGGCAGGCCUAACACAUGCAAGUCGAGGGGUAACAUUGGUUGCUUGCAACCAGAUGACGACCGGCGCACGGGUGCGUAACGCGUAUACAAUCUACCUUUUGCUGAGGGAUAGCCCAGAGAAAUUUGGAUUAAUACCUCAUGGUAUGUAGAGUUCGCAUGGAUUUUACAUUAAAGGUUACGGCAGAAGAUGAGUAUGCGUCCUAUUAGCUAGAUGGUAAGGUAACGGCUUACCAUGGCAACGAUAGGUAGGGGCCCUGAGAGGGGGAUCCCCCACACUGGUACUGAGACACGGACCAG
rnacentral:rRNA from 1 species